rnacentral:rRNA from 1 species
CCGCCCCGACGAAGGGGAGUGGCAGACGGGUGAGUAACGCGGUGGGAAUCUACCCAGUUCGUACGGAAACAACACGAAGGGUAAACUUGUGCUAAUACCGUAUACCGCCCCGAAGGGGGAAAGAUUUAUCGGAAUUGGAUGAGCCCGCGUUGGAUUAGCUAGUUGGUGAGGUAAUGGCUCACCAAGGCGACGAUCCAUAGCUGGUCUGAGAGGAUGAUCAGCCACACUGGGACUGAGACACGGCCCAGACUCCUACGGGAGGCAGCAGUGGGGAAUAUUGGACAAUGGGCGCAAGCCUGAUCCAGCCAUGCCGCGUGAGUGAUGAAGGCCUUAGGGUUGUAAAGCUCUUUCAGUGGGGAAGAUAAUGACGGUACCCACAGAAGAAGCCCCGGCUAACUUCGUG